rnacentral:rRNA from 1 species
AGAGUUUGAUCCUGGCUCAGAUUGAACGCUGGCGGCAGGCCUAACACAUGCAAGUCGAGCGGUAGAGAGAAGCUUGCUUCUCUUGAGAGCGGCGGACGGGUGAGUAAUGCCUAGGAAUCUGCCUAGUGGUGGGGGAUAACGUUCGGAAACGGACGCUAAUACCGCAUACGUCCUACGGGAGAAAGCGGGGGACCUUCGGGCCUCGCGCCAUUAGAUGAGCCUAGGUCGGAUUAGCUAGUUGGUGAGGUAAAGGCUCACCAAGGCGACGAUCCGUAACUGGUCUGAGAGGAUGAUCAGUCACACUGGAACUGAGACACGGUCCAGACUCCUACGGGAGGCAGCAGUGGGGAAUAUUGGACAAUGGGCGAAAGCCUGAUCCAGCCAUGCCGCGUGUGUGAAGAAGGUCUUCGGAUUGUAAAGCACUUUAAGUUGGGAGGAAGGGUAGUAACUUAAUACGUUGCUACUUUGACGUUACCGACAGAAUAAGCACCGGCUAACUUCGUGCCAGCAGCCGCGGUAAUACGGAGGAUCCAAGCGUUAUCCGGAAUCAUUGGGUUUAAAGGGUCCGUAGGCGGUUUGGUAAGUCAGUGGUGAAAGCCCAUCGCUCAACGGUGGAACGGCCAUUGAUACUGCUAGACUUGAAUUAUUAGGAAGUAACUAGAAUAUGUAGUGUAGCGGUGAAAUGCUUAGAGAUUACAUGGAAUACCAAUUGCGAAGGCAGGUUACUACUAAUGGAUUGACGCUGAUGGACGAAAGCGUGGGUAGCGAACAGGAUUAGAUACCCUGGUAGUCCACGCCGUAAACGAUGCUAACUCGUUUUUGGGUUUUCGGAUUCAGAGACUAAGCGAAAGUGAUAAGUUAGCCACCUGGGGAGUACGUUCGCAAGAAU